rnacentral:ncRNA from 1 species
ACGGUCUGAGACGAAGAGGGAACGCAGUGUGAUUCUGCGACUAUGCCCGUAGCUGUAUAUUCCAAUCGACAUGGGAAUGCAUUCCAAGGCCACUGAAACGGAGUUCGUUUUGGGAAGGCGCAAGACCAGGAAUAAAGUCAGAAGACCUGCCUAUUGCUUU